rnacentral:rRNA from 1 species
GGGUGAGUAACACGUGGGUAACCUGCCCAAGAGACUGGGAUAACACCUGGAAACAGAUGCUAAUACCGGAUAACAACACUAGACGCAUGUCUAGAGUUUGAAAGAUGGUUCUGCUAUCACUCUUGGAUGGACCUGCGGUGCAUUAGCUAGUUGGUAAGGUAACGGCUUACCAAGGCAAUGAUGCAUAGCCGAGUUGAGAGACUGAUCGGCCACAUUGGGACUGAGACACGGCCCAAACUCCUACGGGAGGCAGCAGUAGGGAAUCUUCCACAAUGGACGAAAGUCUGAUGGAGCAACGCCGCGUGAGUGAAGAAGGGUUUCGGCUCGUAAAGCUCUGUUGGUAGUGAAGAAAGAUAGAGGUAGUAACUGGCCUUUAUUUGACGGUAAUUACUUAGAAAGUCACGGCUAACUACGUGCCAGCAGCCGCGGUAAUACGUAGGUGGCAAGCGUUGUCCGGAUUUAUUGGGCGUAAAGCGAGUGCAGGCGGUUCAAUAAGUCUGAUGUGAAAGCCUUCGGCUCAACCGGAGAAUUGCAUCAGAAACUGUUGAACUUGAGUGCAGAAGAGGAGAGUGGAACUCCAUGUGUAGCGGUGGAAUGCGUAGAUAUAUGGAAGAACACCAGUGGCGAAGGCGGCUCUCUGGUCUGCAACUGACGCUGAGGCUCGAAAGCAUGGGUAGCGAACAGGAUUAGAUACCCUGGUAGUCCAUGCCGUAA